rnacentral:rRNA from 1 species
GAUGAACGCUAGCGGCAGGCCUAAUACAUGCAAGUCGAACGAGCUUGUCUUCUUCGGAAGACAGGUUAGUGGCGCACGGGUGCGUAACGCGUAUGCAACCUACCUUCCACUGGGGGAUAGCCCCGGGAAACCGGGAUUAAUACCGCAUGACACUGUUUGAGGGCAUCCGAAGACAGUCAAAGCUGAGGCGGUGGAAGAUGGGCAUGCGUGCCAUUAGCUAGUUGGUGGUGUAACGGACCACCAAGGCGACGAUGGCUAGGGGUUCUGAGAGGAUGGUCCCCCACACUGGUACUGAGACACGGACCAGACUCCUACGGGAGGCAGCAGUAGGGAAUAUUGGGCAAUGGCCGAGAGGCUGACCCAGCCAUGCCGCGUGCAGGAAGAAGGCCUUCUGGGUUGUAAACUGCUUUUAUCAGGGAAGAAAACGCUCCUGCGGGAGUAACUGACGGUACCUGAUGAAUAAGCACCGGCUAACUCCGUGCCAGCAGCCGCGGUAAUAC